GUGAACGCUGGCGGUAGGCCUAACAAAUGCAAGUCGAACGGCAGCACAGUAAGAGCUUGCUCUUACGGGUGGCGAGUGGCGGACGGGUGAGGAAUACAUCGGAAUCUACUUUUUCGCGGGGGAUAACGUAGGGAAACUUACGCUAAUACCGCAUACGACCUACGGGUGAAAGCAGGGGAUCUUCGGACCUUGCGCGAUUGAAUGAGCCGAUGUCGGAUUAGCUAGUUGGCGGGGAAAAGGCCCACCAGGCGACGGUCCGUAGCUGGUCUGAGAGGAUGAUCAGCCACACUGGAACUGAGACACGGUCCAGACUCCUACGGGAGGCAGCAGUGGGGAAUAUUGGACAAUGGGCGCAAGCCUGAUCCAGCCAUACCGCGUGGGUGAAGAAGGCCUUCGGGUUGUAAAGCCCUUUUGUUGGGAAAGAAAAGCAGCAGGUUAAUACCCCGCUGUUCUGACGGUACCCAAAGAAUAAGCACCGGCUAACUUCGUG
rnacentral:rRNA from 1 species